rnacentral:rRNA from 1 species
UGGGGAAUAUUGCACAAUGGGCGCAAGCCUGAUGCAGCCAUGCCGCGUGUAUGAAGAAGGCCUUCGGGUUGUAAAGUACUUUCAGCAGUGAGGAAGGGGUGUACGUUAAUAGCGUGCGCUCUUGACGUUAGCUGCAGAAGAAGCACCGGCUAACUCCGUGCCAGCAGCCGCGGUAAUACGGAGGGUGCGAGCGUUAAUCGGAAUUACUGGGCGUAAAGCGCAUGCAGGUGGUUUGUUAAGUCAGAUGUGAAAGCCCGAGGCUCAACCUCGGAACUGCAUUUGAAACUGGCAGGCUAGAGUACUGUAGAGGGGGGUAGAAUUUCAGGUGUAGCGGUGAAAUGCGUAGAGAUCUGAAGGAAUACCGGUGGCGAAGGCGGCCCCCUGGACAGAUACUGACACUCAGAUGCGAAAGCGUGGGGAGCAAACAGGAUUAGAUACCCCCGUAGUCC